rnacentral:lncRNA from 1 species
UCCUAUGCUACUCGAGUAUAUAAAAGAGUAAGGUAAAGUGCCAGCAUGCAUUAAAAAAAAACCAACUAACAACAACAUAAGAAAGUGCAAGUCUGUGACUGCAAGACUGUAAAAGCAGUCCUUUAAAGCCCCCCUAUGUAGUGUACUCACAAGCUGUAGGGGAAGAAGGUGGUGGUGAAUACAAUUGUUCAGUGUAUAGAACGCUAGUGAAAGCCCAAUCAUGCAGAGAGAAAGAUUUUAUGGACAUUAUAAUUAUUAAGGGACUUUAGCCCAUUCAUCAAAACUUUUUAUUUAUUUAUUUUGAAAACUUGGGUGUUGUAU